CAAUCCAGCCGGUACCUUUAGUUCAAAUCUAAACGGUGACAGGUCGAGACGCCCGCGUGUCUGUGCUCGAUUUUGGGCGCGCGUCGCGACAAGACAAAAACCCGUAACGAAUCUCGCUAAGUUUUGCAUAAUGGAUAACCAGGCUGAAGGAGACUCGAGGAUCGACCGAUGAGAAAGAAACACGCGUUUGAUCGACAAGGACCGUAUGUGCAAGGCUUCUGCAAUCGUUUUUGUUUUUCGGCUCCAACGAUCAUUUCCGUUCUCUCCGUGUCGUGCUUUUUUCCUCUCCUGGACCUAGCUGCCUUGGCGACAACGCUUUUUUCCCCUCGCUGCAUUCGAGUAAACGCUCAUUGCAUUGUCGCGACGCGUGCGCCCAAACAUUCCCUUCUCUAUUUAACGAUAAAUCUGGUUUAACAAGAUAUCCAUUAUACAAUAAGUACGUCACAUCGCUGGUGGAUAAAUACGGAACUAAAAGAAAGAAGUGUAUUGUUACUUUAUGAAAAUUAGACAAAAGGGAAGAGAGAGAGAGAGAGAGAGAGAGAGAGAUAGUGUGUGUAAUCAAGACGAAGCGAGAUAGAGAGGCAUACGAAGUUCUUAUGUUUUCGCAGGUCUCGUGGGAAUCGCGUGCUGAUCCUUAUAUAUUGUAAAUAGCAACGAGUCGUGAACGACUGAUAGACAAAGUUCUAUCAAACAUUGAAAAAGCGAUCGAACAUGCUUUUCGCGUUAAAAAUCGAUCUGAUUUAGUGGGGGACCAGGGGUUCAAUAUUUAUCAAAGAUACACAAAAUAUUUUAACGAUAUAUUAAAGGAGAGUUUUGACGAUGGUUCGUGCUGUCGGUACUGUGGGUAGUACGUAAAGUACUGAAGGAGAGAGAAAGGGAGAUAGUAUUGACAAGAAAUUGUGGAGUUCGAGUUUUCGAGACUGGAUCCUUCGAAAACCAUUCAGAACCCUCUGACCGCGAGUUUUCUUGGAAGACUAUCCGUGAGAAUGGAUGUAGUGUCGAGUGGACUGCUCAUGCCAGCGAAGGUCGUGGAUAUUACUACCUACCACUCGUCUUUUUAUUCUCCGCCACCCACCGAAGCAUCGCGCUCUGGUUACGAUUCUAGUAGUGGGGGAGAAUCUGACAACGAGUACAAUGUCAUUGCUUGUCGCGGAGCCAGCAAUCAGUCCCAGAAUCCAAACACGACAAAUGCGAGCAGUAAUGGUCAAGGAAAACAUAUAAACAAAGGAAGGUGGACCAAAGAGGAGGACGGUCUGUUGAAGCAGCUAGUAAGCAACGCCGAGCAACUUGGGACCGGACUUCGAUGGGAUGUCAUAGCUGGCCACUUCCCAGACAGAAGUGACGUUCAGUGUCAGCAAAGAUGGGCGAAAGUCGUGAAUCCAGAAUUGGUCAAAGGACCAUGGACGAAAGAGGAGGACGAAAAAGUAGUAGAAUUAGUGGAACGAUACGGACCGAAGAAGUGGACAUUAAUUGCCCGACAUCUAAAGGGCCGUAUCGGUAAGCAGUGUCGGGAAAGAUGGCACAACCAUUUGAACCCGGGCAUCAAGAAAACAGCGUGGACAGAGGCGGAAGACAGAAUCAUUGUGGAAGCUCACCGCAGGGUGGGAAACCAAUGGGCGAAAAUAGCAAAACUACUGCCGGGCAGGACAGAUAAUGCUAUAAAAAAUCAUUGGAAUAGCACUAUGAGGAGGAAAUAUGAAACUGAAGAUGGUGGUAGACCCACUAGCACAAGAGGAAGAGGUAGGAGAAAAGCUACAGAAUCAUCGGUGCUCUCUAAAGACACAGAGGAGGAAAUCUCAGGUCACGGUCGUCUGAAGGUAGAUUCGACGAACAACGAAAACUCCACAACUGUGUCCACUAUGCAGCAGCAUACUCUGGGUAUCGACCAGCUGGACUGGAGUAGGGCUUGGGACAAUCAACAAAAUAACCAGACUUUCCAAGGUCUUCUGAAUCUGAAUGAACGGCCGCACAAUAAUGAAUCUCGAGUAGAUACCCCUUCAAAAAGAGGAAGUUCUUCUCGAGUCAAGACUGAACAAAUUUCACCUUUUACAAAGUAUUUUGAUAUGCAAAUACAAGGUGAAGCGACAAGUUCAAAGAAUUCAGAGAUUAGAUUAAUGCCUAUGCCAGACCUGGAGGAAAUGCCAGAAGCCAUAGCGGAGAAAGAAAGGAGCAGUCCACCCCCUAUUCUCCGUCGACGUAGAAAUACUCAGGUCCUUCAACAGAGGACGGAAAUGCCUGAGAAUAUGAACCAGUCUGAUUACUUGUUGAUAAGCCAACAACAGCAACAGUCUGGCGUUACCACUCCAUCCACGCCCAUCAAACAAUUGCCAUUCAGUCCGUCACAGUUCUUGAACAGCCUAAGUCCUGAAACCUCCCCUUGGCCACGGGCAAGUACUCCUAAAGGUAGCAGCCCUGGUCCACUCACCACACCACAACCCACUGGUCUUCGACGAAGUCAGAAUGAUGGGAACACACCGAGAACGCCAACACCGUUCAAAAACGCGUUAGCAGAAUUAGAACGGCGCAGCGGCGCGACUACUCAGUUACCUGCCACCCCAAGUCGUUUGGAUGCUCUAACGGAGAUCAUCAAACAAGAAACCGACCGUGAAAGUCUGGCAGGGACUAGCACCAUUCUGCAAGACUCUGGUUACAGCACGAUUAGACGGCGGGGUAAAGAAAAUAGCGCUCCUGGUGGAAAGAGAGCGCGUAAAGCUCUCUGUCAAGCCUGGGCAAACGCUUCCCAGGAUAAUUCCGAAAUAAGUUUCGUUGUAGAAACACCGAGUAAAAGUUUGGACACAUCGGUAUUAUUUUCACCAGCAUCCAUGGCAUUGGAGGAUAGUUUCUUAACAGCAGGAACUAGCCCCGUAAAGGUAGAGAACCAUGUCCAUACUCAAUCACAGAUGCAAACUCAACCCGCCCUGUCCUGGUAUUAUUCCCGUACCAAUCGCCUCUAGACACGCUAGCCAGCCUUUUCUUAACUCUCUUAUCUUAACACUGUCUUUCUCUCUCCAUUGUUUAGUAUAUUUUACUCAAUCAUGCCUGCCUGUUGAUUAACGUUAAAUAUGUCUCGCCCCUAUGUCUAUCUUUCUCUUCGACUCUUUCCUUUUAAUUUAUGACUAAAUGUUAUAAAACCAAGGCGCGCGAGGAAUUAACCUUGUAUUUGUCCUUCGUAAUUGUAACUAUGAUUAUUGAUUCCCUUUUGUCGCCCUGGUAUCGUCCAAUCCAAAGAUUAUUAGCGAUUUUUUUUUUUUCUUAAGUCAUAAGUAUUAUAAUAAUAAAGUAACACGACUAACAAUUAAUAACGACGUAAAAUAUCGGUUUGAUUUAUUUAUAUAAUUAAUUUAUUUUUUUCUUUUUGACAACGCGUAUGCUUACCUUGUUAAAUUAUUAUUUAUAUGUAUGCAGUAAUGUUAUGUGCUUAAAACGAAACUUAUGAUCAUGAAUUAAAGAAACAAUGGGUUCAAAGGAGCCGUAUUAUGAAGUACUUAAUUUAUAUUUUUACGUGUAUUAUAAUAUUUAUUUUUUGGCCCAUGUUCAUCAUAUUAUAUUCUACAUACAUUGAAAAUAUCCAUACUCUUUGGUUUCGAUGUACGUCAAUAUAUAUGGUCGAUCUUGUUUUGUUUUUGUUUGCUUCAGUUUUCUCUUUCUACGAUUAAUUUUACAAAGAAUUAAAUUAUACCUUAGACUCGUGUCAUUAUUUCUUUUUAUUUCAUUUUGUUGACGUUUAUUCGUGUAAAUUAUUUGUGUAUAUUUGGUAUUUUGGGAGCGAAGUAAACUGGAAACACUUAACCUAGUGAAACCUAAUUUAUUACUUAUUGUUAUAUAAAAAGAUAAGAAAUAGUCAAUUAUAUCAUAGCUCUUUUAAAAUGCUAUUAGUAAUUCCUAACUUCAAAAACGGCUAAGUUAUUAUAAAAACAAACACUGUGCGCAACAGGUUGAACAUGUGUGUAUGUAAAUUUAUAAUACGGUAUUAGUAUCUAAAUACUACGAUUAUUUAAUAUUUAAUUACAAGAGAUUAUCGAUUAUACCGAAGUGUUUGCAGUUUCAAUUUCGCCUCCCUAGUCGUUAAUAAACUUCGAUAUUAAACUGGAGGAAUGGAUCACUGGUGAUCCACGCGGCAUGGAGCGCGUUAAUCAUUUUUGUACACAUUCCAAAUUGUAUAUCCUCGCGACUCCUUCGUCCUUCAAUCGUUUCCCGGAUCAUGUCUCGUAUAAUUAUAUAUAAUAUAUAUAUAGAUACAUAUAUAUAUAUUAGAAAUAAAAGAUAACGUUUAUUUAUUAUCAUAUUAAUAUAUAUACAUAUUAUAUAUAUAUAUUUUUUUUAUUCCUUUGGUAAUAACGUUGAGUUGCCGCAUGUUUAUAACUAACUCAAACGUAAAAACGCCCUUGUACAGGCCUGGCCUAGCGUACCAAAGUAUUUCCUCAUCCUGUAUCCCUCAUUCUUUGUAUCCUGAAAGUCGACAAAGUCCAAAGAGUAAUUUUUUUGAGCGGUGACUCCAUCGGUCGCGAGAUGCCGCUCUCUUCGAUACCAAUUCGCAACCGUGCGAAGAAAAAGAGAGGAAAAAAGAAAAGGCAAAAUACCUAAAAGGCCUAGUCAUUUUACAAUGAAACGUGACUUCCCACGACUUUGUGUCCAUACAACGGAAGCCUAACGCCAAGAGAGCAAUCACGUUCGACGCGUUCGACAGUCCCUGUUGUAUUCUCAGCCCUCUACCGCUUAGGCCAGUCAAACGCGCC